AGUAACGCGUGGGUAACCUGCCUUGUACUGGGGGACAACAGUUGGAAACGACUGCUAAUACCGCAUAAGCGCACAGCUUCGCAUGAAGCAGUGUGAAAAACUCCGGUGGUACAAGAUGGACCCGCGUCUGAUUAGCUGGUUGGUGAGGUAACGGCCCACCAAGGCGACGAUCAGUAGCCGGCCUGAGAGGGUGAACGGCCACAUUGGGACUGAGACACGGCCCAAACUCCUACGGGAGGCAGCAGUGGGGAAUAUUGCACAAUGGGGGAAACCCUGAUGCAGCAACGCCGCGUGAGUGAAGAAGUAUUUCGGUAUGUAAAGCUCUAU
rnacentral:rRNA from 1 species